CCUACGGGGGGCAGCAGUGGGGAAUAUUGCGCAAUGGGCGAAAGCCUGACGCAGCGACGCCGCGUGAGGGAUGAAGGUCUUCGGAUCGUAAACCUCUGUCAGCAGGGAAGAACGGUCACUGUGCUAAUCAGCAGUGAAUUGACGGUACCUGCAAAGGAAGCACCGGCUAACUCCGUGCCAGCAGCCGCGGUAAUACGGAGGGUGCGAGCGUUAAUCGGAAUUACUGGGCGUAAAGCGUUCGUAGGCGGUAUGUCAAGUCAAGGGUGAAAUCCCCGCGCUCAACGUGGGAACUGCCUUUGAAACUGGCAAACUGGAGUGUGUGAGAGGAUAGUGGAAUUCCAGGUGUAGGGGUGAAAGCCGUAGAUAUCUGGAGGAACAUCAGUGGCGAAGGCGACUAUCUGGCACAUAACUGACGCUGAGGAGCGAAAGCGUGGGUAGCAAACAGGAUUAGAUACCCUGGUAGUC
rnacentral:rRNA from 1 species